rnacentral:rRNA from 1 species
GGGUUGUGAGGUUAAGCGACUAAGCGUACACGGUGGAUGCCCUGGCAGUCAGAGGCGAUGAAGGACGUGCUAAUCUGCGAUAAGCGUCGGUAAGGUGAUAUGAACCGUUAUAACCGGCGAUUUCCGAAUGGGGAAACCCAGUGUGUUUCGACACACUAUCAUUAACUGAAUCCAUAGGUUAAUGAGGCGAACCGGGGGAACUGAAACAUCUAAGUACCCCGAGGAAAAGAAAUCAACCGAGAUUCCCCCAGUAGCGGCGAGCGAACGGGGAGCAGCCCAGAGCCUGAAUCAGUGUGUGUGUUAGUGGAAGCGUCUGGAAAGGCGCGCGAUACAGGGUGACAGCCCCGUACACAAAAAUGCACAUGCUGUGAGCUCGAUGAGUAGGGCGGGACACGUGGUAUCCUGUCUGAAUAUGGGGGGACCAUCCUC